GAGAGUUAAACAGUACGUGAAAUUGUUGAAAGGGAAACGAUUGAAGUCAGUCAUACCAACGGGAAAUCAACCUCUUGAGUUUGGUCUUGUGGGUUUCGAAGAGUUUAAAAGCCUUCGGAUUUGCGAGGAUUGGGCUCUUUUGGUGUACUUUCUCGUAAGGUUAGUCAACAUCGGUUUUGAAUGUCAUAAAAUGACUGGAGGAAUGUGGCUUCGAUCUCGUAUUGAAGUGUUAUAGCCUUUGGUAGAUGUGAUGUUCGAGACCGAGGAUUGCAACGGAUACCCUUCUGGGCUAUUCGUCUGAUCUCUGAAACGUUGCCUUGAUGUCGAAAGCUUGCUUAUGAUGUUAGGGUAUUACGAUCAAAAGGUUAGAACGGAUUAAAUUCGUUAAGGAUGUUGACGUAAUGACUUUAAACGA
rnacentral:rRNA from 1 species